ACUCAAGUGUACGGGACCUGCAUCCUUUGAUAAGGAGGGGUCCUAGAAGAAAGAGAAAUGGACAGAAAAUUUAUUUGAGAAAAUAGCUGAAAACUGCACCAGUCUGGAAAAGGAAACCUAUAUCCAGGAUUUUUCUACUUGGGAACUAGAAACAAAUGAAUUACAUGUUUGACAGUAAGGUUUUAAGUGAAAAGUUUUCCAGUUUUUCCUCCUACCUGAAGGAAGAAGGAAGAGGUCCUGUCCUGAGGAUGGUCGGCUGCUGGAGCCAGGAGGUUUUGAAUGCUCAAUGAGACUGUGCCUUGCAGGAGGGGGAGGAGGUGGGAGGGAAGGUGGAAGGUCAUCGAAAGCAUCUUCACCUGCAUUUAAAGAAAGGUCUGGAUCAACAGCAUUCAUCAUAAAUUAGAACACAGCAUCAGGUACCAAGCAAAAGUAAUGACUGAUUUCUUUCGUUGCUUAAAAAGAACUUCAGCCGCGGGGUUCAUCCAGCAGCUCACUGCCUUUGAUGACAGGAGUUACUAAUUUUAUGGGAGUGUUUGGAGUAAAACAAACACACAUGCAUGUGUAAACAUUUUUCUGUUUCCUAGUACUAUUAAAAAAAGAUUAUUGCAGGUUAUGAAGACAGCUUAUUAUUCACUUGUAACUUUUAUAAUAUUGAGACAUGGAAAAUGUGAACUAAAAAUAAGGUCACACGAUCAAAACCAAUUUUUUUUUGUACGUGCUCACGGCCUGUAAUUAGAAAAUCACAUGCACAAAAUAUUUAAUGUCACAGAAUAGUUUACAAAUAUGUAUAUUUCACUUCUCAUAUAUCUCUAAAGAGGAAGAGUUAAAUAUAGAACUUCCUUUUGUGGUCCCCAUAGCUAGUCACUUACAUUUGCAUACUUCCUAGCAGCUAUAGAAUAGUGCAGGAUGCUAUUAUGUCUACUUUUCCCCGUGUCAUGCUAUUUUACUCAUGUUUUCCCUUACCUUGAUGCUUUAAAAUUAGAAUUGCAAUGUAUUUUUGUAAGCUAUUUCAAAUACUUUGUGAAUAAAAUGGGAUGAAUACCUAUGUUC